CAGGGGGGGGGUGGAGCCAGAGCUGCUGGCAGCGGCCAAUCGUGCCGCGGCGAGGGAGGAGCCCCAAAGGGGGAAAAAAGAAAGUGCGGCGGAAAGUAAGAGGCUCAUUGGGGGACGACUGUCCGGAUCAGGGUCCCUAGGGCUUUGGCCAGACGCACGGAAAGAAGCGGCGCUGGGCGACUCUGCAUCCAUCCUCGCCGCUUUCGCUGCGCCCACGGCGUCUGCCAAGAAAGAUGGACAAGAUGGGACUUCUGUGGUGUGUAAUGAGUCUCUACUUCUAUGGGAUCUUGCAAAGUGAUGCCUCGGGCAAAUUGGCCAAUUUUAUAAUGGAACUUCUUAUUUGGAUUCAUACCAGUGAUCCAUCAAUGUGGUUUGAUAUGCUGCCUCACCUUGAAGAGAAAGAGAGAAGUGACUGUAUUAUUUCUGCUGGGAGAAGAGUGAAGUCCCAGAAGUUGGUGGGUGCUGGUGCUUCCCCAGUGGUCUUGGCAGUGUUGCUUAUCUGAAUGACCUUUACUGUAAUUUUUCCAAAGAACUCCCCCACCCCAAAUUCCUUUGGAAAGUGAGCUUUCUACCCAGAAACUAUGACUCAUAAUUCUGCUGGGGAAACUGACUUCUCAAAUAAGAUAAGUUUUCAUACCAGCUUCAUUGGGUCACCAUGGGAACAGGAAACAUGUUGUAGUCCCCUCAGCCCAUCUGGCACAUAUUCAUUUGCCUCCUUAUGAAAAGGUAUAUUGUGUUUGUGUCAGUGAUGUACUUCCUAGUUGGAGGAGAGGAACAAAAAGAAAGUGUUG